GAUGAAGAACGUAGCGAAAUGCGAUACGUAAUGUGAAUUGCAGAAUUCAGUGAAUCAUCGAAUCUUUGAACGCAUAUUGCGCUCUCUGGUAUUCCGGAGAGCAUGCUUGUUUGAGUAUCAGUAAACACCUCAACUCCCCUUUCUUUUUUGAAAUGGGAGCUGGACUUGAGUGAUCCCAACGCUUUUCUCACCGAAAAGUGGCGGGUUACUUGAUAUGCAGGUGCAGCUGGACUUUUCUCUGAGCUAAAAGCAUAUCUAUUUAGUCUGCCUAAAAACAGAUUAUUACCUUUGCUGCAGCUAACAUAAAGGAGAUUAGUUCUUGUGCUGACUGAUGCAGGAUUCACAGAGACAGCUUCGGCUGGCCUUUGUAAACUCGAUCUCAAAUCAAGUAAGACUACCCGCUGAACUUAAGCAUAUCAAUAAGCGGAGGA
rnacentral:misc_RNA from 1 species